AUGGAUUCUGUAUUAGUACAAAAUUUCAAAGAGAUAGGGCUCAGACAUGGUCACAAGAAUGAAUGUGGAGUCGAAGGAGGAGCGGAGAGAAAGAUGUCUCCCUCUCUCUCCGUCACAACUCAGAAGUAUGCCUCCAUUAUCUUUUUUUUAUCUAACCAUGUCAGUAUUUCCUUCUAUCACUAUUUCUGUCACAAGACAAGUUUGUUUCCAUGA
rnacentral:rRNA from 1 species